UCUACCAUUUGAGCAAUUCUUAGCCUAUCCACAUCAGCAUCUGUUCCAUGGUAAUUCCACAUCAGCUUUGGCGGUUAAGCAUGAUUUUCUGAUCAUUCAUCUGCAUGGUGGGCUGCCGGCAGUUAUUGCUGUGGGAGUUUCACCCUCCCAGCUUCUAUUAUUCAAUUUCCACUAUUCUCAUAACUGUCCUUAAUCCCACACUCUUCCAAAUUCCAAAACCGUUCAAAAAAUGUUAGUGCAGCCCAUUCUUCUUCUUCUUUCACGAUCCAUUUUCUCCAAAUUCCUUUCACUUUGCCUCACACAAUUGAGAUUCUUCCUAUUCUGAAGACAAAGAAGCAACCUAUCCUGUUCACGGCGGUGUUGCUUGAGGUUCGUCAAUGAUGGAUAACUUCACGUAUGUUGUCUGCGGCUGUGUCAAUCUUGGCCGGAAGGGUGAUGCUCGCGGUGAUUGGUUUUGCUUUCUGAUGACCCUUCACAGUGGUUGGGUUUGAUUAAACGGGGAAUCUUUCACAUAUUGGAUUGGGUUUACAUUGUAAUUGCUCACAUAAUCUCUGGUAUUGGAAUCGUGGGUGGACUAAAUUGUAAGGUACUACUGUGGCUACUGCGAUACCAACGUGUUUCCGUCAACGACUGUGGUGGUGGGAUUUAUGGUGUCAUGGCUGUUGCAGGGAGUUUUAUAUGUUCGAUUACCAUAAUUGACUCUCUUGGAGGUUUUCAUCUUCUAAUAGAUGUUGUUCUUUAAGAACUUGGAUAUGUCGUUCCUCCAAUUAUGUACAGGUUUGUGCAAUACAGUGUGACUCUGCAACGUUAUUUCAAUCACCUUCGCGAACUCCACUGUGAAUAAUAUUCAUCAUCAUCAUCAACAACCUCUACAACACCCCCAACAAUAACUCGGCGACAACAAGAACACAAUUCUACUGCAUCACGUAAAAAUGUGGCGUCACUUCGAGUUCACGCAUCGAAAGAAACGAACAUGGAUGGAUCUAACUCAAGGUAUGGAAUUCAUAAACCCCAAUCCAUAAUUUUUUUCUGUCUCUCUUUCUCACUCGAUUCUUUUCUCUCUUUCACUAAUUUGCUGUCGGCGGUGCAGUUUCUAAUGAUUUGUAUGUGUUGGUUAUGGCGAACGACGGGCUUUCUGAAAAUCUGAACAGUUAUAGGUGUUGUGUUUAUUGGAAUUGAAAUUAUGGAACCACGACGUAUGAUGGGAACAAUGGAGAGAUUUAUGUUGGCACUGGAAAAUCAGAAUCUAAGAGGAGAAUCAGUGUUGGGUUCAAUCAAAACUCUAAAGUAUUCUUGCAUAUUUUCUUGAAUGGUUAUUUACUUCUUGAUUGAUUUUUUUUGUGUUUGAAUGAAUAUUAUUAUGCAACGUGCAUCUUAACCCGUGCCUUAACCCGUACGGUGGUUUUAAGCGUCGUCGCAUCAAUGAGAUAAUAGUUCAAGCUCAAGGAGAGCACACCUUCGUUCACUAUUCUUUGUUUGUUACUUGAAAAAAAACUAUUCCAUAUUGCAGAUGAUGGAAAGUUAGACACUGAGUUAAAUUCAGGUGAAUUUUGGGUCCUCUUUGGUGGUUUUGCUCCCAUUGCAAAAAAAGGUAAUCAGUGAGGAUGAUAUCAUUACAGAGACAAUCCCUACUCAGCUGUAUCGGUAUGUUGAUUUUGUUUUCCAAUUUUCCUAAACCUUUCCCUACCACCACUUUCAAUUUUCCUUGAUAUUCUUUCCAAAGAAUGUAAAAAAGAAAACCAACUCAUUUUCCUAUCUAUAUGAAUGCAAGAAAAAGCAAGGAUAAAUAAAUUUGCAUUCAUUUUUGUGUGGCAGUGAUAGUUCUCAACACAGAUUAGAAGGGCUGAAUUGAAUCUGAAUGGAAUCGUCCCUGUUUCUAUGGUUGUGAUUCUUCAGGACUUCAAGUGGUACGAUUUUGUCCUCAAAUUACAUAAAAUUUAUAAUGGAACACAAACACAUCUCUCGAUGAUUUUGUGUAAACCAUUGGGAACUUCGAAGCUACUGAUGUUGCCAAUGCAGUUCUGGAUGGAACAGACUGUGUGAUGCUUAGUGGUGAGAUAGCUGCUGGAGUUUAUCCAGAACAAGUGAAUGUCUCAGUGCUGUGACUAAAAUGAAAUCGGAGAAGAAACCGAAAACCGAAGCAUGUUUGCGAAAUAGCAGAAUUUUCUGAUGCAGAGAUUAUUCAUUUUAAUAUGCAGAUAUGCACAAGUUGUAAUGAUGGAUAGACUAUGAUUCGAUUUGCGAUCAUUUUUUGCGGAGGAUGGAAUUGGAGGAAGAAGUGAGGAGGGAAAAUGCAAUCGAGAGAGAAUUGGGGAUUUCAAUACAAAGGCCGCUGAAUAUUCAGGGACUAAUGUCGCAGUGGUAAAAUUCAAUACUGAUGAACCCUGUUGCUGUUGGCCAUAUUGGUGCGUCGUAACCACAAACUGAUAUUUAUUGAUAAAAAUGUAUGGAUUUUUUGGGAAGAAAAUCAAAGAUUUAUUCGGAAACAUUUUUUGGUAUGAAUUAGUCGAUGUUAAGAAGCCGCGAGAUCAUGGAGUACCUUAUUCACUUACCGAAGGACUCACAAGUGUUUACAGAAUGCAUACGCUCCUACCUGAGGAGAUUGUUCUUCGAAAACUCAAGCCUGACUGAUACAGUGCAAGGAGAGGAAGAGUGUAUCUACCACAACAUGAGUUGGCUCUGGCAGGGCUUUCAGAUGACGAUAUAUUUGCUGCUCUAGGAAAUUCCGCUCUGGCAUCAAGUCCUCCAGUUGGUGAGAGGAAAUUGUUCUCAUAUAUCACACUUGGCUUGGUUUUGCUGCUCCUCAUGAUUCUCCAUGCUUUCAAGAUCAAGAAACUAGAAAUCUACACAAUAACAAUUUGAUUGCUGAUUCUUCUGGUACAUCAGGUAUUAUAUGAUUUUGCAAUUUCUUUUCAAUUAUACUAUAUCUUUAUGUGAAGAAUACUCUCAAUUUAUUCACUGCAUAAGCAAUGUCAAGUAUGGAAAUGGUUAAAUACAUAAACCUGUCAAUCAAUCUUCUAUAAUCUGAAACAUCAGUCAAAACCUUAUCAGUUGUAUCAGGGAGAGAAACACCAGGAUUCAUUGGCAUAACUACAAAUUUUGAAGCCAAAUGUUAUGUAUCUUCUAACUGUUGUAGCGUGUAUUUUCGAUGGCACGACUGAAUACCCUAACUAGACUCUGCAAUCUCCAAACCAGUAGCGUGUAUUUUCGACGACACGACUGAAUGAUACAAUGAGCGUAUUGGUCAAGCCAGCCAAGAGAUUUUCCUAAUCCCGACACAAACUUUGAUGGAUGAGUGGUUACACAAUUAGAUAAUUUUAGAGUUACAGAGUCGGCACAGAGAAUUACUCUUUAAAAUCAUGUGUUCAGCUGUUCAUAUAAAAGUAUGAAAUAGGGACAUCAAUUUGAGCUGUUGUUGUUGAUCAUAAUCAGAUAACAUGUCAAAUUCAUCCAUAUGAUUAUCUCUGACAUUGAGUGAAGAUCUCAAACGACUGGGCUGGAGAUUACUUCCCCGAAGAUCUGAACCAGUUCUGAAUUAUGGUCUGAGCAAGCCGAUGAAACUGUUCUGGAUUCUCGAGUUUGGAAAAUGUUCUUCCUCGCGAUUUUGACAACACUGAUUGUUAUGUUGUGAAAUGUGGCUUUGACAAUGAUGCUUAUGUUCUUACUUCGUUGGCUUCUCUAUAUGCAAAGCAAGGGUUCACAUAUAUGGCAAAACAGAUUUACAAAUACUAUCCCACAAAAGAGUUGAUUACGUUAACAGCUAUAAUCUCUAGCUGUUCUGAAAAUGUGAUAUAGAGUCUGCGAUGGAGUGUUUUAUCCAAACUAUGAAGUUAGAUAUAAAACCAGAUGCAAUUGCAAUGCAUUGAUAGGUGUCCUUCAUGGAAUUACAUGUCCUUCACAUUUUUCUAUUGGAUGUGCUUUCCACGGUUAUGGUAUAAAGAGCGGGUUGUCUAAUGAUUAUUUAGUUGAAAAUGGGCUAAUAAGUUUGUAUUCUAGAUUUGACGAGAUAGAAACAGUUUGACUUUGUUUUACAAUAAGAGAAAAGCCACAAAUCACAUGGAAUUCUAUGAUAUCAGGUUGUCUGUUUGCAAGCUGGAAAGUCAAGUGAUGCCAUGGAGUUGUUCUCCAAAACGAACAUGCAUGGACAAAAACCAGAUACCAUUAAGUGUUACCAGUCUACUAAACGGGUGUUGCCUGCUUUUAUUACUAAGAGUCAUUUGUUUGUGGUAGAAAAUAGUUUUAAAAGCUAAUAAGUUUAUAUUUGAGUUAACGCAUUUAUAAGUAAUAAUUUUUUUUCUAGAUGUCUCUAAUCCAAAAGCCAUGUAUGAAUUGAAGCAGCCUGCAAGUCGAUUACAUGGUCCAUCUUUUUCAGUGAAAAACAUCUGAUCUCAGUGAUGUAUUACAGAAAUUUCUCAAUGCCUGUUACAGUUUACUGAAUGCUAAGGCUGAUCAUGGAAAUUUUGGCAUAUAACUAACUACAACCUUGGAAUGGAUUAUCAAUCAUUGUUUUUCAAUUCAUGAUGUUUCAAGUAUGGAGGAUAAAAUUAAAAAACAAUUUGAUUGGGAUGAGACGCGGAGUGAAAAUGAAUCUGAAAUUGGAACAGUCACAGAUACGAAACGAUUUCAGGAAUUAGAGAAAACUAUUGCCAGCUUGAGAUUUGAGUUACAAACGUUAAAGGAGUCCAAUAAAAGACUUGAAGAUCGAAUACAAAACGAAAGAUCCUUAAAUAGAGAUCAUGACACCGAGCUUACAGAAACCGAACUAAAUGAGGCUUAUCACAAGAUUUUGGAAUUAGAGGUGGAACUGGACAAAGAAUCUCUAUUGUGAAGAAUUAGACACAAAAUUUGUUCAACUUUAGCUUCAGCUUGAAAGGAAAAUCGAACUCUAUUGCAAUAUUGUUUUGAGGUUUGUUUACAAAUCCUCUAGGAAUGGGAGAUAACAGCAGCUUCAGAGAAGUUAGCAGUGUCAAGAAACCAUCCUUAUCCUUGAGAAGAAGUUGAAGGUAUUGGCUGCGAAAAAGGAUAUGUCCCUUUUCGACAACAUUAUUGCGGCUCAUCGUCGUCCUAUAAUCACAAAUACAUCCAGUGUUAGUCUUUCCGGUAAAGACACGAAGAUGUAAAACCGGCCGUCUCUUUUGGAUCAAAUGCUUGCUGAUGAUGAUGCAAAAUCUAAGGUUUGAAAAGCAAGUGAAAAAGGCUUUAAGCAGUCGCUCGAAAAGAUUGUAGUUUUGACAGGAGUUAGAGGUAAUGAUGACAGUGUUAAUGUCAAUUCUUUGGCCAUUUUACCUGCCAAGAAAUCUGGACGACGAAGCUUCUGGAAAAGGAUGUUAAGGACGAGAAAAAAGCCGAAAAGAGAACAAGUGUAUCAGUUUAACAAGUGAGGUGAAUAUUGAAUGUAGUUGAGUACUCUCUGUUUUAUUUGUUGCAGUUUAAAUAAAUUUAUUAUCUUAUUAAAUAGCAUAUGUAAUUAAUUUAAAUAAUUAUAUUAAAGGAAACCAAUCUGUAUAUUUAAUACUCACAUAUUCUACCAUCACUAUAACCACAAAUUAAUGAUAUGUGUGAUUUUUUUUU